UACGAAGGGGGCUAGCGUUGUUCGGAAUUACUGGGCGUAAAGCGCACGUAGGCGGACAUUUAAGUCAGGGGUGAAAUCCCAGAGCUCAACUCUGGAACUGCCUUUGAUACUGGGUGUCUAGAGUAUGGAAGAGGUGAGUGGAAUUCCGAGUGUAGAGGUGAAAUUCGUAGAUAUCGAGUGGAACACCGGUGGCGAAGGCGGCUUUCUGGACAGGUACUGACGCUGAGACGCGAAAGCGUGGGGAGCAAACAGG
rnacentral:rRNA from 1 species